UUUCUUUCUUUUUUUUUAAGUAGAGAUACUGCUGUACCACUUAGUCCGUGGUUGGUUGAAUCCAUGGAUUGGAACUCCAGAGACACAGGAACCCAUGAUGUACUUUGGAUGGUUGACUCCAAAUUGUAUGCAGAUUUUCAACUGCAUGGGAGGUGUGUUGAACUCCUUGGAACUGCGAAUAGAUGUCCAUCAGUUUAAAACAGUCUCUGUCAUUAUUUCCUCAAGUAUUUCUUCUGCCCCAUUUAACUAUCCUUCUUGAAAACAGCGCUAAGCACAGAGUUCAGAGUCCACUGGAGAGGCG